AAAUGCAUGGCCACUUUUGUGUUAAUCACUUAAUUUAAUUUAUUUAAUUUGUUUAUCAGUUAUUUUGUGUGGCUAUUAAUAUUCAAAAUGACUUUGGUAACAUGACCAAUUUAACCUGUAUAUUAUUUUGUCACAUGAACUGUACAGAAGGUACAAAAAAAUGGAGCAACACCUCAGGUGGAACUAUUAUUUUAAGGCAGGUGCAACCCAGUUGCUUUAGGGGGAUGGACUUCCGCCCACUAUUCAGACGCAAUCUGAGAGGCAAACCGAGUGCACUGUCUUCAUUGCUCCUGAACUUUACCUGUAUUUGCAGCUAUCUCCAGAGUUUACAGGGAAUGAUCUGAAAGAGAGAACCUACCCAGUGAACAGCAGUUCUGUGGGAGAAAUUGCCUUGGAUAUGUUGGAGGAGAAUGGCUAGACUGCUUAAAUAACAGGAGGAAACCUCCAGCAGAGCCAGGCUCAGAAGGG